AUCCCAUUGAAACAAGUUUCCAUAUGAUCACUGAAGUUAAGCAAUGCCGAGCCUGGUUAGUACCUAGAUGGGUGAGUGCUUAGGAAUACUAGGUGCUAUA